ACAAAUUUGGGCAUUCUAGUUGAAUUUACGUUUUGCACAAGAUCGUUAGUGGAUGAACGUUCGAAGGAAGUGUAGGAACCGCCCAAGUUGCAUCGUUCGUGUUAGACAGUCCUUGACCGGGAUGAUCUGUAGAAAAAUGUAAGAUAAUGAAAGAUCCAAUAGAACACUUUCACCUGGAUUCAUCCCAGCCCUCUUCUUUUACCGCAAUUCUUACGUAUCAGUCAGAGGCAUGGUGCAAUUGAAGUUCAACUAGCAUGCUUUCCCGCACUAUUAAGGAAAUAUCUUUAAAUGAAGGGGAAAAAUACAAAUGGAAUAGAGUGAGAAAAGAUAAAAAAGAUUUAUUCAUCUAUCGUAUAGUGACUGUUAUAUAGUUUUGAAUCUUGGUAUCUCCGUUAUAUACGAUAUACAUAUGUACAAACAUUUGGUCGUAAU
rnacentral:misc_RNA from 1 species